rnacentral:rRNA from 1 species
CAGUCGCCACGGGAAUACGUAGGGUGCGACCGUUAAUCGGAAUUACUGGGAGUAAAGCGUGCGCAGGCGGUUCGUUAAGACAGAUGUGAAAUCCCCGGGCUUAACCUGGGAACUGCAUUUGUGACUGGCGAGCUAGAGUAUGGCAGAGGGGGGUAGAAUUCCACGUGUAGCAGUGAAAUGCGUAGAGAUGUGGAGGAAUACCGAUGGCGAAGGCAGCCCCCUGGGCCAAUACUGACGCUCAUGCACGAAAGCGUGGGGAGCAAACAGGAUUAGAGACCCCAGUAGUCCCUGUCUCUUAUAC